rnacentral:rRNA from 1 species
GAUGAACGCUAGCUACAGGCUUAACACAUGCAAGUCGAGGGGAAACGACAUCGAAAGCUUGCUUUUGAUGGGCGUCGACCGGCGCACGGGUGAGUAACGCGUAUCCAACCUGCCCAUCACUUGGGGAUAACCUUGCGAAAGUAAGACUAAUACCCAAUGAUAUCUCUAGAAGACAUCUGAAAGAGAUUAAAGAUUUAUCGGUGAUGGAUGGGGAUGCGUCUGAUUAGCUUGUUGGCGGGGUAACGGCCCACCAAGGCAACGAUCAGUAGGGGUUCUGAGAGGAAGGUCCCCCACAUUGGAACUGAGACACGGUCCAAACUCCUACGGGAGGCAGCAGUGAGGAAUAUUGGUCAAUGGGCGAGAGCCUGAACCAGCCAAGUAGCGUGCAGGAAGACGGCCCUAUGGGUUGUAAACUGCUUUUAUAAGGGAAAAAAGUGAGAGUCGUGACUCUUUUUGUAUGUACCUUAUGAAUAAGGACCGGCUAAUUCCGUG